GAUGAACGCUGGCGGCGUGCUUAACACAUGCAAGUCGAACGGAAAGGCCGAAGCUUGCUUCGGUACUCGAGUGGCGAACGGGUGAGUAACACGUGGGUGAUCUGCCCUGUACUUCGGGAUAAGCUUGGGAAACUGGGUCUAAUACCGGAUAUGACAAUCUCUUGGAUGGGGUUGUGGAAAGCUUUUGCGGUAUGGGAUGAGCUCGCGGCCUAUCAGCUUGUUGGUGGGGUAAUGGCCUACCAAGGCGUCGGCGGGUAGCCGGCCUGAGAGGGUGUACGGCCACAUUGGGACUGAGAUAAGGCCCAGACUCCUACGGGGGGCAGCAGUGGGGAAUAUUGCACAAUGGGCGCAAGCCUGAUGCAGCGACGCCGCGUGGGGGAUGACGGCCUUCGGGUUGUAAACUCCUUUCGCACCCGACGAAGCUUUUUGUGACGGUAGGUUGAGAAGAAGCACCGGCUAACUACGUG
rnacentral:rRNA from 1 species